rfam:Erinaceus europaeus unplaced genomic scaffold scaffold00120, whole genome shotgun sequence
GUUCUCACUUCGGUAGCCCAUAUAUUAAAAUUGGAACUAUACAGAGAUUAGCAUGACCCCUGUGCAAAGAUGACAUGAAAAUUCAUAAAGCGUUCCAUAUAUUU